AGCCACAUCAUGUUGAAACACCAGUUCCCAUACAAUCACCAAAUUUAAGCAACAUUGAGGUUAGUCAGUACCUAGAUGGGUGACCUCUUGGGAAUAUCAAGUGCUGUAAG